rnacentral:rRNA from 1 species
AUUGAACGCUGGCGGCAGGCCUAACACAUGCAAGUCGAGCGGAUGAAGGGAGCUUGCUCCUGGAUUCAGCGGCGGACGGGUGAGUAAUGCCUAGGAAUCUGCCUGGUAGCGGGGGAUAACGUCCGGAAACGGGAGCUAAUACCGCAUACGUCCUGAGGGAGAAAGUGGGGGAUCUUCGGACCUCACGCUACUAGAUGAGCCUAGGUCGGAUUAGCUAGUUGGUGGGGUAAAGGCCUACCAAGGCGACGAUCCGUAACUGGUCUGAGAGGAUGAUCAGUCACACUGGAACUGAGACACGGUCCAGACUCCUACGGGAGGCAGCAGUGGGGAAUAUUGGACAAUGGGCGAAAGCCUGAUCCAGCCAUGCCGCGUGUGUGAAGAAGGUCUUCGGAUUGUAAAGCACUUUAAGUUGGGGGGAAGGUCAGUAAGUUAAUACCUUGCUGUUUUGACGUUACCAACAGAAUAAGCACCGGCUAACUUCGUG